CCUACGGGUGGCAGCAGUGAGGAAUAUUGGUCAAUGGGCGCGAGCCUGAACCAGCCAAGUCGCGUGAGGGAAGACGGCCCUAUGGAUUGUAAACUUCUUUUGUCGGGGAGCAAACGACGCCACGCGUGGCGUUUCGAGAGUACCCGAAGAAUAAGCAUCGGCUAAAUCCGUGCCAGCAGCCGCGGUAAUACGGAGGGUGCGGGCGUUAUCCGGAUUUAUUGGGUUUAAAGGGUGCGCAGGCGGAAGAUCAAGGCUGUGGUGAAAUGGAGGGGCUCAACCUCCGUGAAGCAGCUGAAACUGGUUUGCUUGAGUGCGCCAGAAGUAGGCGGAAUGCGUGGUGUAGCGGUGAAAUGCAUAGAUAUCACGAAGAACUCCGAUUGCGAAGGCAGCAUACCGGCGCUCUACUGACGCUGAUGCACGAAAGUGUGGGUAUCGAACAGGAUUAGAUACCCGAGUAGUC
rnacentral:rRNA from 1 species